AUUGAACGCUGGCGGCAGGCCUAACACAUGCAAGUCGAGCGCGCGGCGGACGGGUGAGUAAUGUGUGGGGAUCUGCCCGUUAGAGGGGGAUAACUCCUGGAAACGGUGGCUCAUACCGCAUACUGUAGGAUGUACCCAUAUGGGAUUAGCUAGUAGGUAAGGUAAUGGCUUACCUAGGCGACGAGCCCUAGCUGGUCUGAGAGGAUGAUCAGCCACACUGGAACUGAGACACGGCCCAGACUCCUACGGGAGGCAGCAGUGGGGAAUAUUGGACAAUGGGCGCAAGCCUGAUGCAGCCAUGCCGCGUGUAUGAAGAAGGCCGUCGGGUUGUAAAGUACUUUCAGUGGGGAGGCGUUACCGACAGAAGAAGCACCGGCUAACUCCGUGCCAGCAGCCGCGGUAAUAC
rnacentral:rRNA from 1 species